GAUUAACGCUGGCGGCAUGCCUAAUACAUGCAAGUCGAACGGAAGCAGCAAUGCUUUAGUGGCGAACGGGUGAGUAACACGUAGGGAACCUACCUAUACGACGAGGAUAACUACUGGAAACGGUAGCUAAAACUGGAUAGGAUCAAUUGAGGCAUCUUGAUUGAUUUAAAGAUCCUUCGGGAUUACGUAGAGAUGGCCCUGCGGCGCAUUAGCUAGUUGGUGAGGUAACGGCCCACCAAGGCGACGAUGCGUAGCUGAGCUGAGAGGCUAAACAGCCACACUGGGACUGAGACACGGCCCAGACUCCUACGGGAGGCAGCAGUAGGGAAUUUUCGGCAAUGGGGGAAACCCUGACCGAGCAAUGCCGCGUGAACGAUGAAGGUCUUCGGAUUGUAAAGUUCUGUGAUUGGGGAAGAAUGGUAUUCUUAGGGAAUGAGGAGUACAUGACGGUACCCGAUUAGAAAGCCCCGGCUAACUAUGUGCCAGCAGCCGCGGUAAUU
rnacentral:rRNA from 1 species